AUUGAACGCUGGCGGCAGGCCUAACACAUGCAAGUCGAGCGGAUGAAGGGAGCUUGCUCCUGGAUUCAGCGGCGGACGGGUGAGUAAUGCCUAGGAAUCUGCCUGGUAGUGGGGGAUAACGUCCGGAAACGGGCGCUAAUACCGCAUACGUCCUGAGGGAGAAAGUGGGGGAUCUUCGGACCUCACGCUAUCAGAUGAGCCUAGGUCGGAUUAGCUAGUUGGUGGGGUAAAGGCCUACCAAGGCGACGAUCCGUAACUGGUCUGAGAGGAUGAUCAGUCACACUGGAACUGAGACACGGUCCAGACUCCUACGGGAGGCAGCAGUGGGGAAUAUUGGACAAUGGGCGAAAGCCUGAUCCAGCCAUGCCGCGUGUAUGAAAAAGGUCUUCGGAUUGUAAAGCACUUUAAGUUGGGAGGAAGGGCAGUAAGUUAAUACCUUGCUGUUUUGACGUUACCAACAGAAUAAGCACCGGCUAACUUCGUG
rnacentral:rRNA from 1 species